AUUGAACGCUGGCGGCAUGCCUUACACAUGCAAGUCGAACGGUAACAGGUCUUCGGAUGCUGACGAGUGGUGAACGGGUGAGUAAUACAUCGGAACGUGCCUAGUAGUGGGGGAUAACUACUCGAAAGAGUGGCUAAUACCGCAUGAGAUCUACGGAUGAAAGCAGGGGAUCGCAAGACCUUGUGCUACUAGAGCGGCCGAUGGCAGAUUAGGUAGUUGGUGGGAUAAAAGCUUACCAAGCCGACGAUCUGUAGCUGGUCUGAGAGGACGGUCAGCCACACUGGGACUGAGACACGGCCCAGACUCCUACGGGAGGCAGCAGUGGGGAAUUUUGGACAAUGGGCGAAAGCCUGAUCCAGCAAUGCCGCGUGCAGGAUGAAGACCUUCGGGUUGUAAACUGCUUUUGUACGGAACGAAAAGCCCCGGGUUAAUACCCUGGGGUCAUGACGGUACCGUAAGAAUAAGCACCGGCUAACUACGUGCCAGCCGCCGCAGUAA
rnacentral:rRNA from 1 species